CCGAUGAAGGUGUAUUGAGAAGUAUGCUGGAGGUAUCAGAAGUGCGAAUGCUGACGUGAGUAACGACAAUGCGAGUGAAAAACUCGCACGCUGAAAGACCAAGGGUUCCAGUCCAACGUUAAUCGGGGCUGGGUGAGUCGACCCCUAAGGCGAGGCCGAGAGGCGUAGUCGAUGGGAAAUUGGUUAAUAUUCCAAUACUUCUAUGUAAUGCGAUGAGAGGACGGAGAAGGUUAAGUCAGCCUGGCGUUGGUUGUCCAGGUGGAAGGUUGUAGGCAUGUAUCUUAGGCAAAUCCGGGGUACUGUAUGCUGAGAACUGAUAGC
rnacentral:rRNA from 14 species